CUUUUAAGGCAGGGUCCCCGGCAGCGGCGCGGCGCGGCGGCAGCGCAGGCGGCGUGAGUCACAGCCAGUCAGUCGGCGACCGGCGGCGGCGGCGCAACCAUCCGGCGCGCUCCGACGCUCCGCGCUGCACACAGGUGUGGAGAAGCUGCAAGGUGUGCAAUAUUUCCAUAUUUUCUACACACGCAACAAGAGAAUCUCGUAACAACAACAUAAAGAACACAAGAAGCUUCACACAUUCUUCACAGUUACUUAGGGAAAGAAUUAUGCAAAUUACUGGAUAUCUUUUUUAUAUAACUGGCUUAUACCAUAUAUGUAAUAAAGUAAAAUACUAAACAGUGUGUUAGAAACUAAUACAGGAAACAAUUUUCUACUUUUAUUAUGGAAAAUGUGUCUAGUUUACAGAAAAGUUUUGAACUGAUGUUUCUGAUGUAAUGAUAAACACAGUCAGAAUUUGUGCAA